CGGCUGCUGUCUGUACGGGUGUGUACGUCCUCCCUGUGAAUCUUGUGGGUUUGCUCCGGGUGCUGUGCUUUCCUCCCGAGUCCAAACAUGUGCCGGUCAGAACAAGACAUGUUUCGCUUCAUUGGGACCCAAGAACAGCAAGGUUUUGUACACAAAAAGGAAGAGAUUUUUACACAAUGGUUCCAAGACUGAGAGAGAAAUAACAUUGAUAUUUAAUCUUGUCAAUACUUGACCAAGAGCACAGCAACGUUUAAGCUCCCUGCUUAUUCUUGGCCUUGUCCGGGAAAGAGGACAACCAUUUCAAUGGAUGCUGGAAAGGAGCAAUAUUCAUUUGAUUUUGCCGGAGUUCCUGCAGCGUUGAAGCAAGUAGUGGGUCAAGCAGCAUCUCUGAGAGGAAAGUAAUUUUUUGAUACUCUGGAUGAAAAGCUGCACGAGGGUCUGAUUGACCCACUGAGAUCCUCUAGCACGGGGGGUUCCCUGCUUUUUAUCCGGAGUUCCCAGGUUGGGAAAUCCCGCUCUAGCAGAUUGUUGUUCCAGAUUCCAGCAUCUACAAUGGUCUGUGCCUCCUGUGAUUCCAUGAGUACAACUCUCCUUUUCACAAUACUUCAUUGGCUAGAAUGUGCUCUGGAAUGCUCUGAGAAGCAUGUGAAAGGGACUAUAGAAACUCAGUUCUUACCAUUAAUUAAAAUUGAAAAACCAUAGCCUUGAUAUACAAUGCGUACCCAUGACAUUCAGAUUAGUGCGGGGGGGAGGGGGGAGUUCUAUCAUUCUACGGGAUUUCUUCAUUUCGUGGAUGUCUGUGAAGUGGACGAAAUUCAGGUUGUAUACUAUAUACAUACUUUGAAACUAAAUGUCUGUUAGCAGAUGGAUCUCAAGGUUGCAUAAUAUACACAUAUUUUUAUAAUAGAUGUACUUUGAACCUCUGUACAACGGUUACUUGAGAACAAACCAAAACUGCUGAGGGACCGAGUACGGGAGCUGACACUGUGUGAUGUGCUUCCAGAAUAACUGAGUUCCAAGUAAACCAAAAGUACGUUUGAUCCUUUAUUAUGAAACCAGUAAAGACAAACGACCUUAUAUAGCGAUAAAAACUACAUAAACUAGAUUAAUGAUACAGCAAAAUAAGAAUAACUAAACAUGAUUAAACAUGGUUAAUGCAGUAAGUGUUCCGGUUGGCAUAUCUUGCUAAUGCCUGUAAGGAGUUUGUACGUGGGUUUCCUCCAGGUGCUCUGGUUUCCUCCCACAGUCCAGAGACCUACUGGUUGGUAGGUUAAUUGGUCAUUGUAAAUUGUCCAGUGAAUAGGAUAGGGUUAAAUCGGGGAUUGGUGGGCGGCGUGACUCAAAGGGCCAGAAGGGCCUGUUACACACUGUACAUCUAUAAAUAAAUUAAUUAACGUGAUAAGCAUUCCAAUUAGUGAAGUUAGUGCUAAGAGAAUUAAGCAUAGUUAUCAUUCCAAUUAGCAGUCAACAAAAUAGAUCACCCCCACCACCCCAACCCCAGUUUACCCUCUCUCAGCUUGACUAAACUGACUAAGACAAGGAGCGAAUAGGUAACUUUGCUCAUUUGCUUCUACUGCGCCCCAAACACGCCCCAAAAUUACCCGUGACCAAUGCGCAAUGUAAAAUACGAUAUGGACAGACAGAAAGUAGAUACAUGGCUCCCGCACCAUGAGCAACAUUCAAUGUACUUUCCACUUUGCCGGUUAACCAGAGGUUAAAACAGCUCACUUAAGAGUCAGGCGGCUGUUGAAUUAACCGACGCUGAGAAUAAGUGGGAAAUUGAUGCGCUCUUAUGGAGCAGUAAAUGUUAAUAGUGGGCAGCUUGUCUCGUACGCCAGUGCUUCGAAAGGAACUCCUUGACUUGAUGACCUCACAUGGCCAUCAGAUUGAGAGGAAAAAUAAAUCUCUUACUGGAGUGCUUCACAACCUUUUCAAUUAAUGGCCCUUAAACUGGGCACAAACUGAUGCAGCCAUCCUUUGUAAAGAAAAACUCUAUUAAAUAAGCAUUACACGCUCUGAGAGACUUCAAUUAAUUUGGUUUAUGCAAAGAAGAAAUAUAACUGUUUCGGCUUAUCACAAAACAAUGCAGAAAUCAGCAGAGUGUGUCCACGUAUUGGGACAUUAUGAUCUAAAGAGAAAAUAAUUUGGAUAGUGUACAUUGUUGUAUUUUUAACAUUCUAAUAUUGCAGUCUCCGUGAGAAUAUAAUGAGCCAUAUGAAUACAAAUUCAUUUCUGCUUAUGAUGAUAAUUUGCUAAAGAUUUCUGCGGAGAGAUUUGUUUUGCUUUGGGGUCUCAAGUUAAUUAUCCAAAGUGAUUCUCAGCGCAGCUGAGAAGAGCAGCGUUGUGGAUAGAAAGGUUGGAAAUGACGCCGAGAGGCCCGCAGAAGAGAUCAGGUUUCUCAGUUCCCAUUGCCAUUCCGAUGUGUCGAUAUGCGGCCUCCUCCUGUGCCAAGAUGAGGCCGCCCUCAGAGUGGAGGAGCAACACCUUAUAUUCCGUCUGGGUAGCCUCCAACCUGAUGGCAUGAAUAACAAUUUCCCCUUCCGGUGAUACAAAUUACCCCCUUCCCACUCUUCUUUGAUUCCCUUCUAAGACCUUCCACUUCUCACCUGCCUAUUCCUUCCCUCUAGGUCCACUCCUUCUCCUUCUUCUAUGGUCCACUCUCCUGCAUCAUCAAGUUCCUUCUUCUCAAGCCCUUGACCUUCCCCCCCACCUUAACCUGGCUUCACCUAUCACCUUCCAGAUAACCGCCUUUCCUUCCCCCCAUCUUUUUAUUCUGGCAUCGCCCCCUUCCUUCUCAGUCCUGAAGAAGGGUCUCGGCCCGAAACGUCGACUGUUCACUCUGUUCCAUAGAUGCUGGUCGCUGAGUUCCUCCAGGAUUUCCUCUGCGUGUCACUUUGGAUCUCCAACAUCCGCAGAUCUUCUCGUCUUUAUCAGAUUUUAAUUUUUGACCAGAUCAAAUCAGUCGUUAUAAAAGAUUAAAGCAGCAAGACCUCCAGCUGUUGUUGGUACAUUCUCUCAGGUGGAUCACGGGUAAAUCACUCGUGGUCUUACGGUACGGUCCACGGCCUCACAUGUGUGGUGGCACAAACUGCGUGAGCUUAUCCUCCAGAAAUAUUAUUGCAGCCAUAGAUGAAUUCUCACAGUGUCUUAAGUUGAAACAGUCAAGGCCUUAUCGAAUGGCAUUUAUUGAAAGACCAUUGAGUCCAUUUGCAUGGAGGGCGGCCACAAGAAAGCAGCAUCAGUGAAAGCAACACACAAAAUGCACAAAAUGGAGGAGCUCAGCAGGCCAGGCAGCAUCUAUGGAAAAGAGUAUAGUCGACGUUUCGGGCCAAGACCCCUCAUCAGGACUGGAAAAAAAGAGUUGGGAUGUCAGAGUGAGAAGGUGGGGGUAGGGGAGGAAGAAAUACAAGGUGGCAGGUGAUAGGUGAAACAGGGAGAGGGAGAGGGGUGAAACGAAGGGCUGGGAAGCUGAUUGGUGAAAGUGAUACAGGGCUGGAGAAGGGGGAAUCUGAUAGGAGAGGGUAAAAGACCAUGGAAGAAAGGGAAGGGGGAGGAGCACCAGAGAGAGAUGAUGGACAGGUAAGAUGUUAAUGUGAGAGAGGGAACAGGAAUGGGAAUGGUGAAAGGGGAUGAGUAAUUACCGGAAGUUCAAGAAAUUGAUGUUCAUGCCAUUAGGUUGAAGGCUACCCAAACAGAAUUUAAGGUGUUGUUCCUCCUACUUGUGUGUUGCCUUGUCAUGGCAGUAGAGGAGGCCAAGGACAGACAUGUCAACAUCUUUGAAGUGUUCCUACAACCAAUGGACUCAUGUUCAAGGAAGACAGAUGGAAUGUUAAUAUUACUUUUGAAAGGACUAGAAAGCAAGAGCAAGGCCUUUGAUGCUGAGGCUUUAUAACACAUUGGUAACACUUACGACAAUUAUUUAAUUUAUAAUAUUUUCGCUUAGUAAUUCAUUUGUUAGUAUUUUCUAGUUAGAAUUAGAAGUGUUUAAAGUAUAUUCAUUGCAUGUAAAAUAUAUCGGCAUGUGAUGACGUCACAUCCGGUUUCGCCGCGUCUUGUGGGAAAGUACCGGUUUGAAAUUAACGCGAGGGUGGGGGCUCACCACGAGGCACACCUGAACAGAAGUUGUUUUGCAGGCAUUAGAAAUCACAGUGAGAGCAACGCUGUAAGUUAAUAGAUAAUCGAUAUAUUGAACUAAGAUGUUAAUGCCGAUUCUGUUAAAAGUAACGACGGUCGAUAAUGUUUAUGUUUUCGUUAGUUAAAGAGUUGCGGAUAGUUUGCAUUGAAGUGUAUUUAAAGUAGUCAAUGGAGCAGGUAAACUCUCCCUGUAUACUGCACCUUAGUGUAAUGUAGUUAUAGUCACCUUUACAAGUAUUUACAAUUGAAAUGUGAUAUUAAGAAAGGAACAAAUACUGUAUCAAUCUUGUAUUGUUUUAUCAACAGUUUUCACCAUAUGUUAAUGUGAAGAGUGAACAGUAAAUGGUUAAUCUUACUGCGA